UUGUAUCCUCACUCACCACCGUUUGGGUUUUAUCUCUUUUCCUCUGCGCCAUUACUGUAGCUUCGAUCUCUUUUCCGGUGGUGUUGGGUGUGGAAAGGUGUUGAUUGAGGGUUGUGGAGGCCAAAAGUCCCAUGGUGUCUUAAACUUUCUCCGUUGCGGUUCUGGAGCUGCUUGAAGACUGUGGCAAGAUCUGCCGGAGAUUAUGGAGCAAGACGAAGGUUCUUCAGAACCGCAAUAUUUGAUAAAUUGAAAUUUAUCGAAUAUUGAAUAAGUUAGCAUAUGAACUUAUCUUGUUAAUAUAAAACUUAUUUGUAUAACAACUAUCUUACCAUGUGCA
rnacentral:lncRNA from 1 species